rnacentral:rRNA from 1 species
UAGAUACCCCACUAUACCUAGCCGUAAACCUUGAUGGGCUAAACACACACCCAUUCGCCAGACAACUACGAGUGAAAAACUUAAAACUCUAAGGACUUGACGGUGCCCCACACCAACCUAGAGGAGCCUGUCCUAUAAUCGAUAAUCCACGCUAAACCUUUCCCCCCCUUGUACCAAACCAGCCUAUAUACCGCCGUCGCCAGCUUGCCUAGUGAUAGUCAUAAAGCAGGCAAAACAGUAUUCACACUAACACGUCAGGUCAAGGUGUAGCCAAUGGGAGGGUAAGAGAUGGGCUACAUUUUCUAGUCACCAGAAAACACCAGAGGCAACAUGAAAUCUUAAGCCAAACCGGCGGAUUUAGCAGUAAAUCUUGGCAAGAAGUGCCUAAUUGAAACUCGCUCUGGGGCGCGUACACACCGC